AGAACUGAGUGGGGGAAGAGAAAUAUCUGGUAAGAGAGGAAAUUUGAUGGAGAGGAUUGGAGCUGGUGACUGCAAACAGUCUUUAUGCUAAUGCACUGUUGGGUUUCCUAUGUUAAUGAAACUUUGCAUGCCUGUAUGGGUUCUUAAUAUAGCCAUAGAAUUAGCCAGUCCAAUAUCUUCACCUUUUUAGUGCUGAUCUUUAUUUUUGGAGCUAUCCUUUGGUGGAAAACCUCAAGUACUGUCAUGGAAAGGAGAUGCAAAUAAUUGUCCUUUGGGUAAUUCCUUUUUUCCGCUGAACACUCUUGUACUUCAUAGAAUCCUAGAAUGGUUUGAGUUGGAAGGGACCAUGUAGUCCCAACCCUCCUGUUGUGGACAAGGAUACCUUCCACUAGACCAGCUUGCUCAGACCCCUAUCCAACCUGAUCUUGAACUCUUUCUGUCUGGUAUUUGCACUCCUUGGCCUAACCUGUUGACCAAUAUGUGUUUAUACUGUUGAAAAGGUGGUGAGGUUGCCUACUGAGAUAGGCCUACUGAGGUUGCUGUUCAUCACUGUGCAGUGAACUCCAGCUCUGUAGGUAAGUGUGAUUAAAUUGGGGGAAUUAGUCUGUCUAAUCCAUCAAGACAGAGCCUUAUUGAGUUGGAUUUCUUUAUUUAGGUCAAAUUCUACACCUGUGUGAGUGGUCCCACCGUUGGGUUGCCUUUCCACAGUCUGCUGUCUUGAGGGAGCCCAGGCCUGGCCACAGUCAUCAGUCAGCUAAGAUGCUUCCUCCUCUCUGCUCCAUAGCCACAAAUGGGCCCUGCUUGCAGCAAUUCAGCAGGAAAGGGCCAGGAUGAGAUAGCUCUGGGUGUUCCAGAAAGCACUGAAGGGUUCAGAUUUGGUGCCAAAUUGCGUGUGGAGAUACCUGCACCGCUUCAGCUGUCCCGGGCACCAGUGGAGGAGGUGCUGACAGGGUUCCCCUGGGCUGAGGUGAGGAGUUACAUGAAGGGGUUUUGUGGGGAGAACUGAGGGGAUGUGUCUGGGCAGGGCUUCAUUGGAUCAAACCUUUUCUGUGUUUCACUGUUUUGUGUGACAUAACGUAAGGAAAAACUUCACAGAGUCACAGAAUAUGCUGAGCUGGAAGAGGCCCAUCACUGAGUCCAACUCUUAGCCCUGCACAGGACCAUCCCCAAGGGUCACACCGUGUGCCUGAGAGUAUCAGAACUCGAGAAGGUAAGAGGGGAGAAGUGCUGAGGAGAAGUAAAGUUUUCUCAUCUGUGCUGUG
rnacentral:lncRNA from 1 species